rfam:Oryza sativa (indica cultivar-group) chromosome 1, whole genome shotgun sequence.
UUUUCGUGUCUAAUGUUUGCGUAUCCACGUUUGACCGUCCGUCUUAUUUAAAAAAAUUAUUAAAAAAAUUUAAAAAAAAACAAGUCACGCAUAAAAUAUUAAUCAUGUUUUAUCAUCUAACAACAAUAAAAAUAUAAAUUAUAGAAAAAUUUCAUAUAAGACGGACAGUCAAAGUUGGACACGGAAGGUUAGAGUUUGUUUUUUU